rnacentral:rRNA from 1 species
GAUGAACGCUGGCGGCGUGCCUAACGCAUGCAAGUCGAGCGGCAGCGAGGGGUGCUUGCACCCUGUCGGCGAGCGGCGGACGGCUGAGUAACGCGUGGGAACGUGCCCCAAAGUGAGGAAUAACUGCCCGAAAGGGUAGCUAAUACCGCAUAUUAUCUUCGGAUCAAAGGAUUUAUCCGCUUUGGGAGCGGCUCGCGUCGGAUUAGGUAGUUGGUGAGGUAAUGGCUCACCAAGCCGACGAUCCGUAGCUGGUCUGAGAGGAUGACCAGCCAGACUGGAACUGAGACACGGUCCAGACUCCUACGGGAGGCAGCAGUGAGGAAUCUUCCACAAUGGGCGAAAGCCUGAUGGAGCAACGCCGCGUGCAGGACGAAGGCCUUCGGGUUGUAAACUGCUUUUAUAAGUGAGGAAUAUGACGGUAACUUAUGAAUAAGGAUCGGCUAACUGCGUG